GUCUACGGCCAUACCACCCUGAACGCGCCCAAUCUCGUCUGAUCUUGGAAGCUACGCAGGGUCGGGCCUGGUUAGUACUUGGAUGGAAGAUACCAUUAGGCCAUUCUAAACC
ensembl:rRNA 5S_rRNA 5S ribosomal RNA